CCUGUUUCCAAUUCCCAUUUUUAUUAAAGCUACUAACACAUUGACCUAGCAAGUACCAGUAUGCACUAAACAUUUACAGUGGGGUUUUCAGCAUUACUGAAAAGUAUGCAGGAUAAAUAGCUACUAUGGUAGCACAAAUGCAAUUGUUUCAAGACAGUGGAAAACAACAUUGCCACCUAUUGGACAUUCGUAGUAUUACAAAACUGCUAUUACACUAAGCUGUACUGUAGGUCUACUCGGGCUCAAACCCUGUCAUGAAUACAGGAAUUAAAAGCUUGGGGUCUGUCAUUGUACAACUCUAAAGGUACAUACAUCUAGAAGAGUGGUCUAGGACCUAGGACCUAAGAGAGCCCUAGGACCAUGCCCCAGGACUACCUGACCUGAUGACUCCUGGCUGUACCCCAUUCCAUCUGGUUGUACGGCUGCUCUGCCUGCAACUAUGGAACCCUGACCUUGUCCUGGACCUGCUAUUUCAACUCCCUCUGUCUCUAUUUCGCUCUCUCACCUGCUGUCUCGACCUCUGAAUGCUCAGCUAUGAAAAGCCAACUUUUACUCCUGACCUGUUGCACCCUCUAUAACCACUGGUACUAUUAUCUGACCAUCUAUGAAUGUUUGAACAUCUUGUAGAAUGAUCUGGCCUUAGUGGCCAUGUACUCUUUUACCUCCACCCGGCACAGCUAGAAGAGGACUGGCCACCUCUCAGAGCCUGGUUCCUCUCUAGAUUUCUUCCUAGCUUCUGUCUCUGCAUUGCUUGCUCUUUGGGGUUUUCAGCUGUGUAUUUGUAAAUCACUUUGUGACAAAUUUUGAUGUAAAAAGUGCAUUAUAAAAUACAUUUGAUAGAGUUCAUCUACGCAAUUUCUAGAAGUUAUCGUAAAACCUCACAGUCCAUCACUCACUGUGAGUCACCUAAUAAAAAUGGACAUUGCCGUCACACAGAGUGACAAGUACAGAUCGAUCCAAACAGGAGUUGAUUCUUUAUUGAAAGAGCUCUCGUUGGACACAGGUAAGAACAGUUGUCUCAGUGUUCUACGUGACAUCUCUCCAUGCUUCGCAAAUGGCACCCUAUUCCCUAUAUAAUGCACUACUAUCGACCUGCACUAUAUAUAGGGAGCCAUUUAGGACACGCCCUGCAGCUGAAACGAGGAAAGCUAGAAGCCACAGUUACAUUUUAAACCACAUGGAUCCAUGUUAAAUGUUCAGGUGGGCGUAUUUUGAUGUUGUACCCUUGUCACAACUUGAGGAAAUAGCUUGUAGGAAAGAAAUAAUAGCAUUUAAAAAGAGAAGUCAAAAGAGAAGUCAUUGCUAAAAAUGUGGAACCUCAACACAGGUCAUAGGUCUAAACCGGUCUGUUAUACAAAGCUGAAAUACAUAAAAACUGGUUUUUAUAAUGAAAUGUCAGUAAAAUACAAGUCCCCGGUUACAAUGCCACUUCUACUGCCCACUCAGAAAAUGUAAAACACUAUUUUAUGAACGAUGCACAGUUCAGUCACAAAGUCCUUCUUGUGAGACGUCCUGUUCUACUGAAAUAACACGACCAAACUAAAUCCAUAAAGCAUCUCAGUAUAGGAGUGCUGAUCUAGGAUCAGUUGACACAUCUUAUUCAUAUGAUUCAAAAAGGUAAAACUGAUCUCAGGUCAGCACUCCUACCUCCGACGCUUUACGGGCCUUGGCUAUGACCAUUGGUACUCUGCAUCGACUGCCCUGGGGAUUUACCUUUGCCUCUUUUCAAACCAUGAAAAUAGCUUAAUGACCUCGAGUUCAAACUCUUAGGGACAGUUAAGCCUAGUCCUGAAGAAUGUACAUUGAAAUAGCUUUUCAUUCCAGGAUUAGGCUUCCAGGAAAUUUCAGUUAAACUUCAAAAAGCAGUCUCUCUCUCUCUCUCACACACACACACACCUCUACCCCCAUCCCCCUUCUCUCGCCAUCCCCCUCCCCCCACUCUCCCUCCCUCUCACACAGAGAGUAAAGCAGGAGCCAGAAAACUAAGGAGCAGAAGUAGGGUUAAAAUAACAUCACCUGUCACGCAUCCCAAAUGGCUCCCUGUUCCCUAUAUAAUGCACUACUUUUGACCAGAGCUAUAUGGGUCUUGGUCAACAGUAGUGAACUAUAUAGGGGAUAGAGUGCCAUUUGUGACCAGGAUAUUGAAGAACCCCCAUAAUAAUUGUAGUUGUAAAGACGGCAUGCAUUGUGUCUGACUGACCUGACAGCACUAAACUAUUUCCAAUUAAUGUGGAAGAACAUCUCACACAGAGAUGAACACAAGAUACAAAUCUCACAUACAUUCCACUACCAGCUUUACAAAGGGGUGGAUAUUAGCUUUACAGCAGAGAUCAACAAAACAAGGUUAUUAACAUUUUACACCACAAUAUCUUUGUAUCAUGCUGGGGUUGUGAACGCAGCCCUGUUCUGGCCAAACAAGGGGCGUCUUCACAACUCCAAAACAGUUCAAUCGUUAAUGAUCCAUACUGAUCAACGUCCACCUCCAGGGAGGUUUAGUAAGCACCACAAUCUUUUCAUAAAGUGGAGUGAGACUUCCUCAAAACAAGGCAGGCAGCAAAUAGCAGUUCCCUUCCACCAGAGAUGAAAGCAACAACUGUACAACUCAACAUCUUGGUGUCGACCAAACAGAAACAUACGAAGGGGCCGAAGAGAUUUGAUCUUAGUUGCCUGUAGAAAAGCAAACUGCACUGCGCUCACUAAAGCAUUAUGAAGUUCAAGGGUGGGCGGAUACCAGGUCUGUCAAGGAAGACUUGGACGAAAACAAACAAUAUGCUUUCUGAGGUAAAUAAAAUAAUAAAAUAAAAAGUGGAAGAGGAGAAACAGAAAUAUACAGAUGGAAGAUAUACACUGAGUGGACAAAACAUUAAGAACUCCUGCUCUUUCC
ensembl:lncRNA